UCUCCAUAAGGCUUGAACUUGUUUUACAACCUCUCAUUCCUAGUGAUCUCUAUCUCUACAUUAUCUCUUAAUUGCUUCAUAUUAAUUAUUUGCUCUUCUUGAAACAUGGCAAUAUCUGGUAAAAUUAGUGUUGAAAUUGUGAUCCAAGUAUCAGCUUCAAAGAUCUUCCACAUUUUGGCAAAGGAACUCCACAAUAUCCAAAACAUUUGUGAAAGAGUGCAUGAAGCCAACUUGCACGAAGGUGAUGACUGGCACUGCACUGAUUCGGUCAAAAAUUGGACUUGUCUAGUUGAGUUAAACAAGCUGUUCCCUUCAAUACCUCUGGUGGCUGAGGAGGACUCUGUCUACUUGUGAUCAAGAAACUUAGCAGGUUCCAAGCUUGAUGCAAUCAUUGUUAUAGAUAGUCCCAAUUCCAAACCAUUGACACAAGAUGAUGUGCUGGAAGCAAUUGAUAAAGGAGGCAAAGAUGCUUUUUUAUUUGGAUCAGAACCAACCACGUAUUGGGUGCUUGAUCCAAUUGAUGGCACACGUGGAUUUGUAAAAGCAGGCAAAGCCUUAUAUGUGAUUUCCAAUGAUGGGAAGAUCGAGGAGAAGGUCCUGGUGGAAGCUUGUAGCUUGCUUUGCUUCUUCUUACAUUUCGAUAAUGGAGAAAAUAGAGUGGUGCAAGCCAAAAGAAGAAGCAGCAACAUCAUUAACAUAACUCCUUAGAGAGCUUGAGAUAGAGACAAGAAUUGGAUCCGGGAUAAUGCUGAGAAGUGUGAAGUUGUAAAACAAGCUUUUGAAAAAUGCAAAUGGAAAUAAAUGAAAUUAUGUCUAAUCUCAACUAAGAAUGGAGAAGUAAUUCUGUUUAUAUACUAUAGCCUAUAGAACUAUCAUAUUUAUGCUGUCUUAAAUCUUUAUGUUAGUUGU